ACACAGCACUAGCGCGGUGCUGUCGGUGGUGGCCAACCACGCGAGUUAAGGAAGGUUAACAGUUUCCGAAAUUUAUUAACAUGACUUUUUAUUUGGUGUACUUUAGGUGUACGCUGUUGUAGUAUCACACGAGCCAACCGGGGACCUCUCACCUGCUGCCGUCAGCUACACAAAUGGUUUCUAUCAAAUACCAAUCAUUGGAAUUUCUUCUAGGGAUGCCGCAUUUUCGGAUAAAAAUAUACACGUUUCGUUUUUGCGAACUGUGCCACCUUUUUAUCACCAGGCGGAUGUUUGGCUUGAAAUGCUAAGCCAUUUCGGUUACACCAAGGUUAUUGUUAUUCAUAGCUCUGACACAGACGGUAGAGCAGUACUAGGGCGAUUCCAAACAACAUCACAAACCAACUAUGAUGACAUUGACGUUCGUGCCACUGUAGAGAGCAUCAUUGAAUUUGAGCCAAAACUUGAAACAUUUACAGAAAAUCUAAUGGAAAUGAAAACAGCACAAUCUCGAGUAUAUUUGCUUUACGCUAGUACUGAAGAUUCAUAUGUUAUAUUCCGAGACGCAGCGCUGAAUAAUAUGACGGAAACAGGGCAUAUUUGGAUUAUUACAGAGCAAGCACUUCAAGCUAAUAAUACCCCCAUAGGCGUAUUGGGAUUAAAACUGAACAAUUCUAAUAGUGAAAAUGAACACAUAAAGGAUGCAAUAUAUGUUCUAGCAUCAGCUAUCAAGGAAAUGAUAACUCAUAACGAAACAAUUACUGAAGCACCGAAAGACUGCGACGAUACAGGCGCCGUGUGGGAAUCAGGAAAAAAGAUGUUCAACUACCUAAAAACAAGGCAUAUAAAAGGAGAAACAGGACAUGUGGCUUUCGAUAGCAACGGAGAUAGGAUAUAUGCAGCGUAUGAAGUUAUAAAUGUUCAGCAACCACCAUCGUCAAUGCGGAAAAACGUCAAGGUCGGCAGUUUUUUCUAUGAUGAAGAAAAAGGACGUAUGAGGCUCAAAAUAAAUGAUACUAUGCUGGUUUGGCCUGGCAACACAGAGAAAAAACCUGAAGGAAUAAUGAUACCCACACACUUGAAAGUCCUUACAAUUGAAGAGAAACCGUUUGUGUACGUGCGUAAAUUACUGGAUGAUGAAAUUGAUUGCGAAGAUGAUGAAAUUGCGUGUCCUCUCUUCAAUUCUACAGAUGGAAACGAAAAAGACUAUUGCUGCAAAGGAUAUUGCAUAGAUUUACUAAAAGCUUUGGCGCAAAGGAUAAAUUUCACAUAUGAUCUAGCAUUAUCGCCUGAUGGACAAUUUGGACAUUAUCAACUAAAAAAUCAUACUACAGGAAUCGGUACUAGUGUGAAGAAAGAAUGGAAUGGGUUGAUUGGUGAACUCGUCGCUGAAAGAGCAGAUCUCAUAGUCGCUCCUUUAACCAUCAAUCCGGAAAGAGCAGAGUUUAUAGAAUUUUCCAAGCCUUUCAAAUACCAGGGUAUUACCAUACUCGAAAAGAAACCAUCGAGGUCAAGCACACUGUUUUCUAAGUUCCGGAUUUAAACACGACAAGCGGAGACUCUGCUUCGUGCAGCUUCGCCCCACUUAAAAAGCGUCCGACGACGCUUUUUGUGGGAGCUCGAAAGUUCCCAGGCCAUUCAAUCGGCCACCUUUUCUGCACGUGGUGCAUUUUCGGUCCGUGCUGGCCCGCAAUCUUGGCAGCUAAACGGGAGUAGUGGAAAUUCCGACCU